rnacentral:rRNA from 1 species
UGGGGAAUAUUGGACAAUGGGCGAAAGCCUGAUCCAGCCAUGCCGCGUGUGUGAAGAAGGUCUUCGGAUUGUAAAGCACUUUAAGUUGGGAGGAAGGGCAGUAAAUUAAUACUUUGCUGUUUUGACGUUACCGACAGAAUAAGCACCGGCUAACUCUGUGCCAGCAGCCGCGGUAAUACAGAGGGUGCAAGCGUUAAUCGGAAUUACUGGGCGUAAAGCGCGCGUAGGUGGUUAGUUAAGUUGGAUGUGAAAUCCCCGGGCUCAACCUGGGAACUGCAUUCAAAACUGACUGACUAGAGUAUGGUAGAGGGUGGUGGAAUUUCCUGUGUAGCGGUGAAAUGCGUAGAUAUAGGAAGGAACACCAGUGGCGAAGGCGACCACCUGGACUGAUACUGACACUGAGGUGCGAAAGCGUGGGGA